GCCCCUUCGGGGGUACACGACCGGCAAACGGGUGAGUAACACGUGAGUAACCUGCCCCAUUCUUCGGAAUAACCAGUGGAAACGCUGGCUAAUGCCGAAUAUGACCAUCGAAGGCAUCUUCUGGUGGUGGAAAGCUCCGGCGGAGUGGGAUGGACUCCCGGCCUAUCAUCUUGUUGGUGAGGUAACGGCUCACCAAGGCGACGACGGGUAGCCGGCCUGAGAGGGUGACCGGCCACACUGGGACUGAUACACGGCCCACACUCCUACGGGAGGCAGCAGUGGGGAAUAUUGGACAAUGGGCGAAAGCCUGAUCCAGCAACGCCGCGUGAGGGAUGACGGCCUUCGGGUUGUAAACCUCUUUCAGCAGGGACGAAGCGAAAGUGACGGUACCUGCAGAAGAAGGACCGGCCAAUUACGUGCCAGCAGCCGCGGUAAUACGUAGGGUCCGAGCGUUGUCCGGAAUUAUUGGGCGUAAAGGGCUCGUAGGCGGUUUGUCGCGUCGGGAGUGAAAACUCAGGGCUCAACCCUGAGCGUGCUUACGAUACGGGCAAACUAGAGGUAUGCAGGGGAGAACGGAAUUCCUGGUGUAGCGGUGGAAUGCGCAGAUAUCAGGAGGAACACCGGUGGCGAAGGCGGU
rnacentral:rRNA from 1 species